rnacentral:rRNA from 1 species
UACGUAGGAUGCAAGCGUUGUCCGGAAUUAUUGGGCGUAAAGCGAACGUAGGCGGUUUCUUAAGUUUGGUCUUAAAGACCGGGGCUCAACCCCGGGAAUGGAUCGAAAACUGGGAGACUGGAGGACGUCAGAGGAAAGUGGAAUUCCGAGUGUAGCGGUGAAAUGCGUAGAUAUUCGGAGGAACACCAGUGGCGAAAGCGACUUUCUGGGACGUUCCUGACGCUGAGGUUCGAAAGCUCGGGGAGCAAACAGG